UCAGAACGAACGCUGGCGGCAGGUCUUAGGCAUGCAAGUCGAACGGAUGACAAGGGAGCUUGCUUCCUUGAAGUCAGUGGCGCACGAGUGAGUAACGCGUGGGAAACUGCCCUUCACUGGGGAAUAACGUUUGGAAACGAACGCUAAUACCGCAUACGCCCGCAAGGGGAAAGAUUUAUCGGUGAUGGAUGUGCCCGCGUUGGAUUAGCUAGUUGGUGGGGUAAUGGCCUACCAAGGCGAUGAUCCAUAGCUGGUCUGAGAGGACGAUCAGCCACGCUGGAACUGAGACACGGUCCAGACUCCUACGGGAGGCAGCAGCUAAGAAUAUUGGGCAAUGGAGGAAACUCUGACCCAGCCAUUGCCGCGUGAAUGAAGAAGGCCUUCGGGUUGUAAAGUUCUUUUAGUCAUGAAGAUGAUGACAGUAGUGACAGAAAAAGCACCGGCUAACUUCGUGCCAGCAGCAGC
rnacentral:rRNA from 1 species